rnacentral:rRNA from 1 species
GACGAACGCUGGCGGCGUGCUUAACACAUGCAAGUCGAACGGAAAGGCCCGGCUUUUGUGGGGUGCUCGAGUGGCGAACGGGUGAGUAACACGUGAGUAACCUGCCCUUGACUUUGGGAUAACUUCAGGAAACUGGGGCUAAUACCGGAUAGGAGCUCCUGCUGCAUGGGGGGGGUUGGAAAGUUUCGGCGGUUGGGGAUGGACUCGCGGCUUAUCAGCUUGUUGGUGGGGUAGUGGCUUACCAAGGCUUUGACGGGUAGCCGGCCUGAGAGGGUGACCGGCCACAUUGGGACUGAGAUACGGCCCAGACUCCUACGGGAGGCAGCAGUGGGGAAUAUUGCACAAUGGGCGGAAGCCUGAUGCAGCAACGCCGCGUGCGGGAUGACGGCCUUCGGGUUGUAAACCGCUUUCGCCUGUGACGAAGCGUGAGUGACGGUAAUGGGUAAAGAAGCACCGGCUAACUACGUG